UCUCCGUUGGUGAACCAGCGGAGGGAUCAUUAGAGAGUUGCAAAACUCCCAAACCAUUGUGAACAUACCUUCAACGUUGCUUCGGCGGGUUGGCCCCGGUCUCCGGGGUCCCCGGCCCUCACGGGCGCCCGCCGGAGGUACCUAACUCUUGAACUGUUAUGGCCUCUCUGAGUCUUUGUACUUAAUAAGUCAAAACUUUCAACAACGGAUCUCUUGGUUCUG
rnacentral:misc_RNA from 1 species